CACCCGAGCCCACAGCGCCUAACCUGAGGCUCCCAGUCGCGUCGGGCCUCCCGAGUGGGGCGCGUGUAGGGAAGACCUCCGCACGUGUCCCCAGCACGGAGCAGGGCCAGUUUCAGGGAUCCUUCAGCAGUACAGGGCUCCCUACUCAGAUGGACCCUGGGCUUGGCAUAUGGCUCUGCUGUUGCCAUCUUCUGUGUCCCAAAAUUCAUGUUGAAACAUAAUCCGGAUUAUAGUGGUAUAUGAGGUUGUUUGCACUCUUCUGCCAUCUGUGUUGUACUGCAUCACGACUGAGAAGAAAGAACAACAUAUCUUCUGAUGGAAGUGGGGGUGGGCCAAAUGAAACACUGCUCUCAUAUAAAUGCAACACUUCUAGGUUUCAGUUCUCUCUGUGCCUCAUUGCCAUGGAUAAAUACAAGGUUAACACUCAGG
rnacentral:lncRNA from 1 species